UGCCUUUUGUAGAAUGAACCGGCGAGUUACGAUUUGAUGCAAGGUUAAGCAGUAAAUGUGGAGCCGUAGCGAAAGCGAGUCUGAAUAGGGCGUUUAGUAUUUGGUCGUAGACCCGAAACCAGGUGAUCUACCCUUGGUCAGGUUGAAGUUCAGGUAACACUGAAUGGAGGACCGAACCGACUUACGUUGAAAAGUGAGCGGAUGAACUGAGGGUAGCGGAGAAAUUCCAAUCGAACCUGGAGAUAGCUGGUUCUCUCCGAAAUAGCUUUAGGGCUAGCCUCAAGUGAUGAUUAUUGGAGGUAGAGCACUGUUUGGACGAGGGGCCCCUCUCGGGUUACCGAAUUCAGACAAACUCCGAAUGCCAAUUAAUUUAACUUGGGAGUCAGAACAUGGGUGAUAAGGUCCGUGUUCGAAAGGGAAACAGCCCAGACCACCAGCUAAGGUCCCAAAAUAUAUGUUAAGUGGAAAAGGAUGUGGCGUUGCCCAGACAACUAGGAUGUUGGCUUAGAAGCAGCCAUCAUUUAAAGAGUGCGUAAUAGCUCACUAGUCGAGUGACACUGCGCCGAAAAUGUACCGGGGCUAAACAUAUUACCGAAGCUGUGGAUUGUCCUUUGGACAAUGGUAGGAGAGCGUUCUAAGGGCGUUGAAGCAUGAUCGUAAGGACAUGUGGAGCGCUUAGAAGUGAGAAUGCCGGUGUGAGUAGCGAAAGACGGGUGAGAAUCCCGUCCACCGAUUGACUAAGGUUUCCAGAGGAAGGCUCGUCCGCUCUGGGUUAGUCGGGUCCUAAGCUGAGGCCGACAGGCGUAGGCGAUGGAUAACAGGUUGAUAUUCCUGUACCACCUAUAAUCGUUUUAAUCGAUGGGGGGACGCAGUAG
rnacentral:rRNA from 2 species